CAUGUACUCCCUCCGUUCCAAAUUACUCGUCGCAGAAAUGGAUGUAUCUAGAACUAAAAUACAUCUAGAUACAUCCAUACCCGCAAUAAGUAAUUCGGAACGGAGGGAGUAUUAU
rfam:Triticum urartu cultivar G1812 contig593726, whole genome shotgun sequence.